rnacentral:tRNA from 1 species
GGACGAUUAGCGCAGUUGGUUAGCGCACUACCUUGACAUGGUAGGGGUCACAAGUUCGAGUCUUGUAUCGUCCA